UAUCCCCUGGUAACCAUAAGUUUGUAUUCUACAUCUGUUACUCUACUUCUGUUUUGUAAAUAAGUUCUUUGGUACUCAUCUGUUGUUGUUUUUAAUACUUUCUGUAAGCAGUAUUUAAAUAGCCUAUAGCUAGUGGAAUUUCUUUCAGGAUUUCUGGAGUGUACUACUUUUACAAAUGUCCUUGAGUUAAAGUAUAUAGUGAAAAAAUGAAGCACAAUUUUGGGUAUAACUUUAUAUAAUAAAGUAUUUCAAUUCUCUUGACAGUCUCAAAUAUCAUUGUACAGUUUAUAAAUGAAAUCCUGAGUGCCUAGAACAGUUCUGGCACAUAGGUGCUCAAUAUUGAAUCACUCCUGCCCUUUGCUUCAAAGGAGCAACUUUCCUAAUUAGCCUAAAGGCUCUAUGAGUUGAGCAUAGUACUGCUCUAAACCAGCUUGCCCAUUAGAGGUCUCUGUCCAGAUGCCUUGUGGGCACUAGAAACUCAAAACCUUCAAAUCUGAACUCUUUAUCUUGCCCAGUACACUGUUUCUGUGUUCCUUGUCUGAAUAAUAAUUCACUCAGCCAGUUGGAAUCUUCUCUCUCCUCUCAGCCGCCCUCCUGAUCAUGCUAAAAAUGGUGGUCUUCUGUUGCUUAAAACUUUUUAGUAGAUAGACCCUUUAUCCCAAGUAAAGCAACCUUUGAGAGCUUUAAGCAGCAUGGUUUGUCAAAAUCCAAAUUGUAGAUGAGAAUUAUGGGAGCCAUAUAAGUUUACUUUUCCAUUGGUCCCAAGGUAGUAUUAGUGCCUCAGGCAUGGGCUGUGAGUCCUGAUAGUAGAAUCAUGUUGCCAGAUCUUGAGUAUACCGACCUAAUACAGAUGAAUAUAAUUGGUUUGGGGAGUGUUAAAAGUUUUAAUUCUCUUAUUAAGACCUUGUUUUAAGUACUCACCAAUGUUACACAGCAACUCCCUAACUCUGCCCCAUUUAAAUUGUUCAUGUUUUUCACCAAUAGUUACCGACAUCCUACUAUGUGCUUGCUCUUGAGCAUUGUGGAUGCAAUGGAGAAAAAACAGCCUGUUUCCAGAAUACCUUUGUCAGCCUGUGAGUGCCAGGCCAGCUCCUGACUGUUUUUCUCUUUUUCAAGAGGUAAGACUCAUGAAGUUGCAAAGGACAUAAAACCUCAACCAAAUUGACUUAAGCAAAAAGGACCACGUCUUAUUUCUAACAAAAAUCAUCAACCAAAGACGAGAAAACAUCAGUGAUUUUGAAAACAUCCUUGCUACUGCUGUGUUGAAGAAAAAAAAAUGUGUCUUAUUAAGACAUCUUCGGCCGGCAUUUUUCACGAACUGAUGGACAUCUAUUCAGCCUGGGCACUGUGCAGCUCAAAACACGUUUUUUCUCUCAGCAUUCUUAAGGGGCUCUGUGCACUCACUGGAUGCCAAAGAUAACAUCUAGAUCAGCAAUUUCUCAUAAAUCAUUGGAACACGGAACAUGACACAAAGAGAAGACAUCAGGAAUUCAAUAAUAAAUAUGGCAAGGUGCACAAACAAGAGAAUUGAAACCAGAUGAAAAGGAGCCUUUCAGAACAGAAGGUUUCUUCAUACAUACGUAGGCAUUGUCACAUGUGCUUAAGCAUGUGGGUAUUAACCAGAAGACCUGAGACCAGUGACCUGAGACCAGUUACCAGCCUUCCACUUGCCAACCAUGCCAUCUCAUCCAAGUUGCUUAACUGCUCUAUACCCAGUUUUCUCAUGGGCGAAUUUGAAAAAAAUCACAGUUCCUAAUUUUUUGGUAUUGUAAGGUUUAAAAGAGUUAACAUAGUUAAAAUGCUGCAAAGAGCAUCUGGAACAUGGAUAGAAGUUCUUUGCUUGGGAUUCACGAACCCCCUGAAGUUGAAUGCAAGAUGGUGUGUUUGCUUAUGUGCGUUUUUCUGGGCAGAGAGUCCAUGGCCUUCAAUGGAUGAUCAAAGGAAUUGCGACUCAGAAAAGAUUAAUACCGCCAUGGAGACUUCCUUGGUCAAAAGCCACAUGUUAAUUUCUUGAGGAAGAAAGCAAAUUCCUAGCACGGGAGAAGGAGCUGGGCACAUGGGCUGGCAAGUGGCCCGUUGAAAGAUGAGUGAGGACUGAAGUCUACCAAUGAACUCUGUCGGGGAACCCCUGCUUUAACUUUUCUCAGCUUUAGUUCCUUCGUCUGUAACAUGUAGUUAAUGAAGAUACUCACCUAGAGGAGUUUCGUCCAGUUUAAUGAGAUAUUUGCAAGGCCCUUAGCAUAGUAUCUGGUGCAUGGUAGAUGAUGCUAAAUAAACGGCAGCCAGUGGCAGUGGACGUCACGGUUGCCAUCUGGUGGGCUGUGUGGUGAUCGCUGUGGAAGCUUUGGGAGCAAAGAUCUUGGGCAUGUCUUUGGCUCCAACUCGAGGAUCAGAGGUCUCCCUCUGUGAGGUAGGGUUAUUAACCUCAUUUUACAAAUCAUGAAACUGGGGGCUCAUUUUCAGUUCUUAGGGUGAGUUGUUAUUUUAUGCCGCAUUCAUUUAUUAGAGCCCUGUUUUCUGCCGGUUAAAUUGUAUCAUAUCAUUAUGUAAAACAUAAAUAUUUCCUCCAUUGUGCCUUGUUGGAAGCAUUGUGAUUUCCAAGCACUCAAUCUCUCAAACAAGUCUGAGACGCACUGGCCAGGGUGGUGUUUUGGAAAAUAGCUCAGCCGAGGCUGAGAACCUUAAUUGUUGGUUCUAAACUCUAUGUUCUACCCACCAAACCACUGCCCUGGCUGGGGGUGACGCUUGUCCCUCCCACUCCCAUAUCUUGUGCUCUGGAAUCAGUUUUGCAUUUAAGCAAAAACGUAACUAAGAAAAUGGAAAUAUAAUACACACUGACACACACAAAGCAACAGCAUACACAUACUACUUAAACUGUCUUUUUUUCUGAUAAAAAGGUAAAAACAGACAGACUCUGAGUAAGACAAUAUUUUAACUCACACUGUUGAGGUUAAGGUUGAUGAUAGCACAGCAGAAAUGCUUACAGUUACUCCCAGCUAAUGAAUCAAUUGUGUUUUCACAGUUCCUUCUCUUAGCCAAGGACCUCACAAAUGGAGCAGUUAGGGUCACGCUACUCAAAAUGUGGGCUCUGCACAGUCGGAUCAGCAUCCCCAGGGAGGUUGUUAAAAAUGCAGAAUCUCAGGCCCACCCCCACUGCUGAAUCAAAAUGUAUGUUUUAAUAAGAUCCUCAGGUGAUUCAUAUGCACAUUACCAUUUGAGAAGCAUUUGUUCAGGUAGCCAAAAAGUUUCUUCUGGGGAGUGUGAGGGCAGUUCCAGGGCAGGGAGAUGGCUUUCUAUUUCCUGCCUUUCUUCCUUCCAGCAGGUGUGCAAGUCAGUACUGGGUAUAUCUCUCUGCUCUCUGGAGCUGCAACCUUUUCCUCCCUCUGUGGCUUCGGGCUCAUUGCUGCAUCCGAGGAUGUGCCCCACUGUGACCAGGGGUAAUUGCUACCUUCUCCUGAAAAGCCCAGAACCUAGAGAAUCAGCAACCAGGCAGCAAAAACCCUCUGUUUCACCAAAAUCUUUCUGGUUGGGCACUAAUGGGCAAAGUGUUAAGGCUGUGCUCUGGUGACAGAGCUCCUAGAGCGAAGCUUUAAAUGCCUUGAUGAAAGCAAUUGCUACUGAGGACUCUAACCCGUAGUAAUUAGGAGCUUGCUGGAGAAGAGGAGGGGUUAGGAAGUGAUGAGUGGAGAGAGACCUAUUUAAAGUUGAAACAUUGUUUCAACUUCUGAUUUUAAUCCCUUGCUGGCUUCCCGUUCUCGUUAUAGGUGAGCCAUUUACCUAAUAGAACUGUAUUUGGUCAAAGUGCUUUAUCCCAGUUCCAAGGGUGCUGAUUUUCAGGAAGUGUACCUGCACUGGGGAAGCAAAUUUGAUUCCAUUAUUGGCCAAGAACAAGCUGAUCGUGUAGAUUCUGGGGCUGUCAUUAUUAUUAUUACUGAAAUAGUCCCCAAACUUGGGGGUUCAACACCCUAAGGGACAGAGAAGAUGUUGGCAGCUCCCCAAAGAGAGAGGAAGAAAGAAAGAAGGCAUGUUGAACCCCCGUGGGUGGGAGCCAUGGAAUUUAAUCAUGGUGAGGUCAGCCUUUGACAUGAGGAGUCCUGUGACUCUGCAGCAGAAAGUCCAGUAUGGUCUCCUCGCAGGCUUGGGGAGGUUUAGUGAUUUGGUGGAGGUCAUGGAACUGAAAGGAGGCAACGCUGGAAUUGGAAUCAAGUUUAAUGAGUUCCUUGGCCUGGGAAAGUCCAGAUCAGGAAAAAAAAAAUUGCUUCUCAAACUGUACCUGCCUCACAAUCACCUGAAGGGUUCGUUGAAACACAGAGGGUGCUGGGUUCCACCCCAGAAUGCCUGGUUCAGUAGGUUUGGAGUCGAGUCUGAGGGACUCUGCAUUUCUAACCAGUUCCCAGGCAGUGCUGACGCUGCUGGUCCAGGGACCACACUUUGAGAACCAUUGCUCUACUGGCUCCCCCCACUGCUAGAUAGACAGUCCUGAUGUUGCUUUCUUAACAGGCCAUUACCUUGUUCUUAACUUACCAAGGUGGGUUUGUCUCCUGAACUAGAGCAGAGAAAAAUAUUAAUGCAUAAUAGGGACAGGAAAGAUCAAUAUAUACAUUUUGAGAUUUCUCCUCCCUUCCUAUCUUCUGAGUGGAGGAAGAUUCUUGCUUGAUGGUCAGAACUCCCAGGGUUUUUCUCUAUAGCCCUGAAUACUAGAACUAGGUAAACAGACAAACUCAAGGAAGCCUGAGAGGCUAAACUGACGUACACAAUAAAGUGUUAAAAGAAAAAGAGAUAUAUUAAAAAUCCACUUUGGCUGGACAUUGGGAAGAGAAAUAGAGGAGAAUUGGGAGUAAGGAAUUUUGGAGAGUGAGAGGCUCUGGAAUAACCACAGGAGGUGAAAGAGGAGAGGAGAGGAGAAAGGUUCAGUGGGCUUUGGACCAAAUGCCUCUCAUAUCCUUCAACAGAUGCAAUUAGAGAUUGAGGUGUCUCUUUGCUCCUGAACUGUUUCUUUGAGUGUCAUAUCAUGUGAGUCUGGGCCCCAUGGGUCCUGGGAUUGACUAGGGACACAGAAUUGGUCUUGCAGUAGUGAUGAUGACUUUAUUCUGACACACCUUAUCGUCCAGUUCUUGUUAUAGCAGGUGGCAAGACAACAAGCUGGGAAAGCAUGUCAGGAUACCAAGGAAAUUCAGGAACACUGGUGUUGCAUAUCUAAUUCUGAAUUGUUUCUUAAUCUGCACUGUGAUUCGUCUUUGUUACCUCCAAGCAUUCGGUGAAGUCUAUUACAUAAAACAGCAUUGCCUCGGAGAAUGAGGAAAAGCGUAGUGAGUCCACGUUGGGGAUAAAGUGAUAAUGAAAAGGACAGCAGCUGAGAAGACUGGUGAUGAGGAAGGCCGGGGAGACCGAAAUGAGACCAGGAGGAGAGGUUUGGAGUGAGAGGUGACAGCCACGCAUCAGGAUAAUGAGUUCUCCCAGAAAAUUUGUGGAGCGCAUGGAAUUUCUUAAAAUUAUAUUUUGUUCGGCCAUUAAAAGGGCAAAGAUGAUCCCAAAGGCUGGAGAAUAGCGGUGCCUCUUAACAUUGGAGAAGAGAGUUGGAUCCUUUAUGCAAUUUUUACAAACUCUUAUAACUAAUUUAAAUGUAAACAUGAUCUGCCUUGACACAAGAGGGCCAUUAUGCUAAGAGACAAGUCACUGGGAGCGCUCAGACUUAUAGGAACCAGAAUGCGAUGAAGAGAGAGGAAAACCUCAUAGGAAAGCUGCAUUUUGAUAUGUUCCCAGGUGGAUUCGCCCCGAUCAAAGAGUUUUAGACAAGGAGUUAAACAUCUGGAUUACAAGAAAUCUUUAAAGAACGGUGGUAUUCACAAAGGACUUCAAAGCCUGAUUUAAUUUAACCAGUUUUUAGACUAAAAAAGUCAUCUGCCUGGCUCUGAAAUACUUGGAGAGCAAUUUUACAUUCCAGUGCACAGCAACCUGACACAAGACCAAAUUCCUAUAUUUUUCGAGGCUUCAGUUUUGCUGCUCUUAUUAAGAACUGAAAGAAGG